CACACAAAGUUGAGGCAAUUUACCGGGCAAAGCUACAUGGAACAGUAGUUUCGACAGUUUCACUAAAGUACUGGAGCUGCUGGAUGAUCAGCACACUGAUAUCUUAUGUUAGUCUUUCCUCUGGCCCCUGUAUUAGUUGAGGGAGUUGCAGUACUCGGGACAAAUUAUCGACGCACUAAUAUGUCGAUUGUUGAGUCCAAUGCACGGCGAUGCCCUUCACUUCGACCUUGGGGACAAGAUCACCAGUUUCUCUAUGUUCGAGCACUGGACUGAAGAUUACGGGCGACGAGAUAGCUCGUGACAGUACUUAGAGAUUCAACAAGUAUAUGACACUUACUUUCAUGGACAGCGGGCAAUACUUGUAUAUCAGCUGUGUCACCAUAAAAAGAUUGUGAUCGACCUUUUCCACCUGGAGAUCGUCGACGACAUCGAUCGCUUCAAUAACUAUCCAUGGGAUUGGAGAUAUUUUGAGGACACCGUACACCUCUUCAUCAGAUCGCACUCAAAGCCCUUGCGGUGUACGUACCUGUUUACAUAAUCAUUAGCAAAAAAUUUGGGCGUACGAGAUUGUCUCCACACUCGGUGCUCGCUUUGCAAAGCACAGUGACACGAUGCCCUCGGAUGCAUCAUUGGCGAGCAUCUCGAGCGGACGGGUGUCCGACUACAAAACAGUUAUCGGCUCUCCUCGACAAUCCUCAUGUGAGUAUUAUGCACUUUGUAACUUAUAUUAUGAGCUAAUUUAAAAUCUCAGCACGCAAUCAUUAACAGAGUUGAAAACAUGUCAGGUUGAGGUCAUAACUAAGUUGACGCCAUCGAUAGAGGAGGAGGGUCGAGGACUGGUACGGGAGGAGCGUGAAUUUUAUAUAAUUUAUUGAUUAACAUUUUUUAUAAUUAAGUUAAUAAUCUAUAAUGCUAUUUGUGUAGGAGCACGGUCCAGUUGAUAGACGAUUACGUCCGUCGAGAGCAUCACCAUCGUUGAUGGCAUCACCUCCACUGAGGGCAUCACCGCCGCCAAUGUCAUCACCUCCGUCGAUGUGGAGCGACAGUUGAUGGAGAGGGUAGACAAUUUGGAGCGAUGGUUGAUGGGGAGGGUCGACGACUUGUCCUAGAAUAUUACACUGCUACGUGGCCACGUCGUAUCCCUCUAGGAUGAGGUCACAGCGCUCCGAGGUGAUAUUGCGGGUAGGCGAUGGACUGACAGAAAGGGUGAUGGAGAGGGUGGCGAAGAGGGAGGUCACCCACAUUUUUGGACAGACGGUGCAUUAAAAUCAUUUCUAUUAUCUCUGGAACGAGAUUGGGUAUCCCCGAUGGAGACGAGAGUAACAACGGUGGAGGAGAGGGUGACGAAAGCAGUGGGCUCGAUGGGGACUGGAGAGCCAGCCGGGGAGGAAGAGAGGGUGACGAAGGCGGGAGAGCCAACCGGGGAGGAGGAGAAGGUGAUAGGGAGGGAAGAGCCGAUCAGGGAGAAGGAGAGGGUGACGGAGGCGAUGGGCUCAAUGGGACAGGAGAGCCAGGAAAGGAAGAGGAGGUGAUGGAGGAGACGAUCCCCGGGGAUAAGAAGUGUGUUGUUGACUUCACGGUGCAGGCGAUCGGGAAGAGGCCGAGAUUGCCGUAGCAGUACAUGGUUUCUCCCUUCAUGGUCGAGAUGAAGAGGAUGAGGUUCAUCGAUGGGACGAUUCCGAACCUAGUUCGGGAGGUGGACCAUGCCAAAUGGAAAACGUUCCAGACGGAGUGGAGAGGGAUUUUGUCUGGGUAAGUAUUCAUGAUAUUAGUAAAGUAUGUUGCGUUAUUCGUAUCGCUUAUUUAACAUUUUUAUUUUUCUUUUGUCAGGACCAGCCGCACGACUGGUCAAACGACCAUCUCCGAUGCUUAUAAGUGGUUCCACGACAUCAUCACUCCAGGAGCUUGGCUUGCCGACGAUGUAAGUGAAGUAGUCAUAUUGUUAUUUUUUGUGUAUAUAAUUUUUUAUUUAUGCAAUGAAAUAACUCCUUUUUAUAUUGGUGUUUCUUAAUGCAGCACAUCGACCUAGCCAUGGACUUUUUGCGUGAUCGGGUUCAAAGAUAUCUGAGGUCAUUUGACAGUCUUGGUUGAGUCAUACUGAAUUUGGAGUUCAGCUGAAGCAUUGACAUUGAGUACUAGUCGCUACAAUGUGCUGGUAUGAAGUACGUGGUGCCUGAUUAUAUGCUCGAGUGGACCAUAGGGAUGUGGCCACAUGUUGGGAGGAAGCCAUGGGAGGGUUGUACGCAUAUGUACAUACCAGUGAUCUUGAAUUCGCACUGCAUAGCUUUGGAGAUUGUGCUGGCCAAGUCUACUGUAUAUGUGUAUGACCCCGAUCAUUUAUGUCUGACACAGAGUCAGUUCGAGCAAAAUCUGGAGUCCAUCGCUAUUUUAGUCCCAUGAUGGUUAGAUGCCCCGGGCUUGACUCUGAACGACAGAUUAGCCAUCAUGCCCAGGCUAGGCAGACAAUAUCGUAAGUGGUUCUACAUUUUUUUAAAUUUAAUACUUAAUUUUUUCUAUAUGAUAAAGAUCUAACUUAUUAUUGUUCAAUUGCAGGGGUGAUUGCGGCAAGUUUGCAAUAAAAUAUAUUGAGUUUUUGAGUACCUAGGUUGAUGGAAUCAACUAAUCCUGAAUGCAAAUUUGGAGAAAUAAGUUAGCAUGCGAUUUGCACGACUUUAGUUGUGAUCUGUAAAUGCUGUAAAAAUUUGAUUUUUUUAAUUACGAAAUGUUUGUAAACACUUUGUAUAUUGAUUUGUACCUUGUGGAUGAAUGUAAUUGUAUAUUAUUUUCUAUAUUUGCUUCAUCUAUGAUAUUAAUAAUCUAUGAAUUGUAUUACACA
rnacentral:lncRNA from 1 species